rnacentral:rRNA from 1 species
GACGAACGCUGGCGGCGUGCUUAACACAUGCCAGUCGAACGGAAAGGCCCUGCUUUUGUGGGGUGCUCGAGUGGCGAACGGGUGAGUAACACGUGAGUAACCUGCCCUUGACUUUGGGAUAACUUCAGGAAACUGGGGCUAAUACCGGAUAGGAGCUCCUGCUGCAUGGUGGGGGUUGGAAAGUUUCGGCGGUUGGGGAUGGACUCGCGGCUUAUCAGCUUGUUGGUGGGGUAGUGGCUUACCAAGGCUUUGACGGGUAGCCGGCCUGAGAGGGUGACCGGCCACAUUGGGACUGAGAUACGGCCCAGACUCCUACGGGAGGCAGCGGUGGAGAAUAUUGCACAGUGGGCGGAAGCCUGAUGCAGCAACGCCGCGUGCGGGAUGACGGCCUUCGGGUUGUAAACCGCUUUCGCCUGUGACGAAGCGUGAGUGACGGUAAUGGGUAAGGAAGCACCGGCUAACUACGUG